AGUGAACGCUGGCGGUAGGCCUAACACAUGCAAGUCGAACGGCAGCACAGUAAGAGCUUGCUCUUACGGGUGGCGAAUGGCGGACGGGUGAGGAAUACAUCGGAAUCUACUUUUUCGUGGGGGAUAACGUAGGGAAACUUACGCUAAUACCGCAUACGACCUACGGGUGAAAGCAGGGGAUCUUCGGACCUUGCGCGAUUGAAUGAGCCGAUGUCGGAUUAGCUAGUUGGCGGGGUAAAGGCCCACCAAGGCGCCGAUCCGUAGCUGGUCUGAGAGGAUGAUAGGCCACACUGGAGCUGAGGCACGGUCCAGACUCCUACGGGAGGCAGCAGUGGGGAAUAUUGGACAAUGGGCGCAAGCCUGAUCCAGCCAUACCGCGUGGGUGAAGAAGGCCUUCGGGUUGUAAAGCCCUUUUGUUGGGAAAGAAAAGCAGCAGGUUAAUACCCCGCUGUUCUGACGGUACCCAAAGAAUAAGCACCGGCUAACUUCGUG
rnacentral:rRNA from 1 species